rnacentral:rRNA from 1 species
UACGUAGGGUGCAAGCGUUGUCCGGAAUCAUUGGGCGUAAAGCGCACGUAGGCGGUUCGUUAUGUCGGAUGUGAAAGCCCUUGGCUUAACCGAGGAAGUGCAUCCGAAACUGGCGAGCUAGAGUACGAAAGAGGAUCGCGGAAUUCCCGGUGUAGAGGUGAAAUUCGUAGAUAUCGGGGGGAACACCGGUGGCGAAGGCGGCGAUCUGGGUCGAUACUGACGCUGAGGUGCGAAAGCGUGGGGAGCAAACAGG